UGGGGAAUAUUGCGCAAUGGGGGAAACCCUGACGCAGCGACGCCGUGUGAGGGAAGAAGGCUUUCGGGUCGUAAACCUCUGUCAGGAAGGAGGAACCUCUCAAGGCUGAACAAGCCUUGGGACUGACGGUACUUCCAGAGGAAGCACCGGCUAACUCCGUGCCAGCAGCCGCGGUAAUGCGGAGGGUGCAAGCGUUAAUCGGAAUCACUGGGCGUAAAGCGCGCGUAGGCCGUGUUUUAAGUCGGACGUGAAAGCCCUAGGCUAAACCGGGGAACUGCGUUCGAUACUGGGAAACGUGAGUCCUGGAUAGGGUGGAGGAAUUCCGGGUGUAGGUGUGAAAUCCGUAGAUAUCCGGAGGAACACCGGUGGCGAAGGCGGCCACCUGUGCAGGUACUGACGCUGAGGCGCGAAAGCGUGGGGAGCAAACA
rnacentral:rRNA from 1 species